CAACUUUUAACAACGGAUCUCUUGGUUCUCGCAUCGAUGAAGAACGUAGCAAAGUGCGAUAACUAGUGUGAAUUGCAUAUUCAGUGAAUCAUCGAGUCUUUGAACGCAUCUUGCACUCAUUGGUAUUCCAAUGAGUACGCCUGUUUCAGUAUCAAA
rnacentral:rRNA from 2 species